CUUUGAAUGUUCUGGACGAGACGAUCCUUACUCAAGUCUAGAGGCGAGAGGAAGCACCUGUUGUGGACAGUUCCACUCCUGAGGCUGUGGGUGCACUGUAGUCCUGCAGUCGGUCAUGUGGCACCUGUAGUAACCUACUACGUUAAGGAGGAAAUCAUUAUUUAAAGAAGAUUCUCUUGUCCAAGUCACUUGGCAUCUCUCUUAAUUUCUCACCAACUGAAAAGAUAAUAGCAUACACACCACAGAGCAUGGCUGUUGGAAUGAAAUGGCUCGUCAAGGGAGAACAGUUUUGUCCAAUCCUGGAACAGGUUCUUACUUUUGUCAUCUGUGAAAGCAGCAUCAUAGGCAUUCUGCAGAACUCUCGCGCGAUCUGACGGAGGCUGCUAGGUAAGUCAGGG
rnacentral:lncRNA from 1 species